rnacentral:rRNA from 1 species
UACAGAGGUCCCAAGCGUUGUUCGGAUUCACUGGGCGUAAAGGGUGCGUCGGUGGUCGGGUAAGUCUGAUGUGAAAUCUCCGAGCUUAACUCGGAAAUGGCAUUGGAUACUAUUCGGCUGGAGGUGUGGAGGGGGGACUGGAAUUCUCGGUGUAGCAGUGAAAUGCGUAGAUAUCGAGAGGAACACCAGUGGCGAAGGCGAGUCCCUGGACAACACCUGACACUGAGGCACGAAAGCUAGGGGAGCAAACAGG